UUCUUCGGGGCAGGGUGUAAUUCCCGACCGACGGUAACAAUUCUUUGAAAUUGAAGUCCGUGACCCGCGAAAGCGGUGGAUCUAGUGAGAGUCUAGAACCGACUGUAAAGUCAGGAUGGUAGAAGAA
rnacentral:ncRNA from 1 species